AAGUCGUAACAAGGUUUUGCACUAAGCAACAGAUUCUUCUGUCGGCAGAACUUAGGAGACCUUGCAGCCCGGAACCGGGUCGGCAACACGACUGAUAAAUAACGUUGACCACUGCAAGUUGGUCAUCAUACCAGCAACACAAUCGAAAUGCGGGGGAACUCCUAAAGCUCACAGCACCAACUUGGGGAGAGAAAUCUCUCAAGGGCCCUGAAUAAGGGAUGGUGAUAGUAUGUGAGAUGUAACAAUGGACAAUCCGCAGCGGAGACCCUGUCACAUGGGUAACGUUCACAGACUAAGUGAUUGUGGGUUAGCAAACGCUAAUCUAAGAUAUAGUCGAGCUGAAGAUGAAAGUCUUCAGGCUUCUGCGUCCAUAGGUGAACCUGCGGAAGGAUCAUUACCGAGUUCAUGCCCUCACGGGUAGAUCUCCCACCCCUUGUGAUUAUACUAUCGUUGCUUUGGUAGCUGGCUUUCGGGCUAUCAGUCUACAGAGAACCCCCAAUCUCUUAAAUUUUUAUUGCCUGAUACUAUAUAAUAGUUAAAA
rnacentral:misc_RNA from 1 species